UCCAGAAUCAACUAAUAAGAUUACUAAUUGCAUUUCAUCAACAGAAUUUUUUACCGGGUUAACAGGGAAUGCUGAUGUCUUAUGGAUUUCAUAGGAGAAGGGGGACAACAAAUAGUCUCAAGUAUUUGAGGAUCUGUGUCUUGAUUAAGAUUCUGUUGUGGUAAGUGCCUCCAUCAAUCACAGGGAGAUCAAGUCCUUGCCUGAAGAUGUGCAUAUAAAGAUGCCCCAUACGGUAGCACGCCUUGAAGGAGCUUGAUGGUAAUUUUAUAGGUGCCAAAUAUAUUAAUGUGAGUUCAGGUAGACCAGCAUGUUUCUGAAGUCUGAGGUAUUUCAAGAUAAAGCCUUCUAUUUAUUAAUUAUUUAAAUUGUUACUAUGAUUCUCCCAGGAAUAACUGCGAUGCAAAAACAAAGGACUUACCUGACUUUCAGAUUUGCGAUUUUCUGAACUUUGGAUAUUGUCCUUUAAUAUGUUGAGUAAGGUUGUCUAGGAGUUCUGUGUUAGGUGCUUUCAUCAAAGGAAUAAAAAAAUGAAGAUGAAUCCUUGCCACUAGUGCAGUUUACUUAGGAAUUUACUGAGGAUUUAUCCCUUAAUCUAAAGGUCAUAACAUUUUAAAUAACAUGUUUUUAAUAUUCAGAAUGGACCCAAUUUGCCUUCUAAGCAGCUGAUAACUUAGAAAUGCUGUUAGCCACAGAUACCCAUACAUUACCUUCCCUUGCCUUCCUUUCAUAGAAAUAAUGAAACUUGAACUUUACUGCAAAUAUGCUUUUGUCUUUUGUUCAAGCAAGAGAGUAAGAGUUGACUGUAAGCUUGCUCAUGUGUGCUGUUCCUGAGUUCACUGCUGUUUCUUUGCAGAUAUGGCAAACUGAGAAGAUAUGUUUAAAAUACUACCAAUUGUUUUUAUGUGUAAGAGGAAUCCCAUCCAUGAGGGAAUCUGAACUAGGAGGACAAGACAGGAGUUCUUGGCUGCACUCUUGUGCUAACAUCAUUAAGCUCUUGCAGUAAGAUUGUAUGAAGAUGCACCACCCAAGGAAUUCUAGAUAAAAUGUCACAAUUUGACACCAAAUACACAGUAUACAUAUACACAUCCAUUCCAUUUCACAGAGCAUCCACUCUGUCUCCAGGCACAGCUGCAGGACUCCUCAUAAAUAAAUAACCUCGUGUAAGACAGAUUAUGUUCCUCAGAUAUCAAUCACUGGUAAAUAUCAUGUUUCUACUUACAACGUAAGAAUACUAAAUGGAAACUCAUGAAGAUUUCAGAUUGCCAUUAUAUUUACAGUCCUGGGGCUUACUGCUGAGAAUUAUUGGAUGUCUUUACUUCUGAAUGUGGGCUGAAAGCUGCAGUGGGAUACUCAUUCCUAGCCUGCCUCUCAGAUUUUCAAUCAACGUUAAUCGUACUUCUUGAAGUCUUACCUCUAAAUCACGGUAAAUAUUGCAAAAGGAUUCCAAACUUUGUCAGAUGGGGUCAGUGAGGGAACAAAAGCCCAAGCUCAUCUUUUCCUGAUUCCAUAUCUGGAAAAUAUUUUGGACCAAAGUGUUCUUACUAUUGCAUGAUUACAGGGACUAGAUGUGGUGGAAGAGAUGGAGGGAGAAAUGUCAAAAAACCACCUGGAGCAUUGGAGUGCCUUCUAGUAUCUGCACAAUGAAAGGGCAGGUAUUUCACCCCCUUUCCUUUACUGGGCUAUCAGCUCUUUUUCUGUCAGUGGUAAAACAUUCCCCAGUUCCAGCUGCAAAUAAUACAUCUCUCCAUGUAAUGAUAUCACGAAGCAAGGUUGUUUUAUCCCUGAAUUCUUGCCAUCUUUCAGAGGCAGUGACUCUUAUUCUUUUGCAGUCUGUUUGAAUGCUGCACUCAUCAGCCACUGUUGUCCACUGGCCAAAAUAAAGGUGAGAGAUUGUUUAUAAAUUAAGGAAUUCUGUGUUGGAGACUAUCAGUGUUUUGAAUGAAGCCAUAGUUGGGUGUCCUGAGAAGACUCCAAUUCUUUUCAAUAUGAGUGUGGCUGCUGUUUCAUCCCUUAUUAAUUUUGACUUCUUUAUAAAUAAUCUCAGACAAGUUUCAAUAUUUAUUUCUCAUAUUGUGUUCUAUUCUGUUUAUUCUUACAGGGAAAAAUAUAGUUAGAAAUUCAGACUCCUCUCCCCUCCUCCAAUAUUUAGUAUAGCACAGAUUAGCUUGUGAUCAUUUUUAUUGAACUCUAAGGAUAAGAAAAAACUCAAAACUUGCUAAAUACUCUUUGUUUUUAAUUGUUGUUUUUAAUUAUUGUUUUUUAUUAGGGAAUAUAUAACG